rnacentral:rRNA from 1 species
CCCUACGGGGCGCAGCAGGCGCGAAAACUUUACAAUGCGGGAAACCGUGAUAAGGGAACCCCGAGUGCCCGUAAAUUCGGGCUGUCCAUCAGUGUAAAUAACUGGUGAAGAAAGGGCCGGGCAAGACCGGUGCCAGCCGCCGCGGUAAUACCGGCGGCUCGAGUGGUGGCCACUAUUAUUGGGCUUAAAGCGUCCGUAGCUUGAUUGUUAAGUCUCUUGGGAAAUCUACCGGCUCAACCGAUAGGCGUUCAAGGGAUACUGGCAAUCUAGGGACCGGGAGAGGU